rnacentral:rRNA from 1 species
AAUAUUGCACAAUGGGCGCAAGCCUGAUGCAGCAACGCCGCGUGAGGGAUGACGGCCUUCGGGUUGUAACCCUCUUUUAGUAAGGAAGAAGCCGCAAGGUGACGGUACUUGCAGAAAAAGCACCGGCUAACUACGUGCCAGCAGACGCGGUAAUACGUAGGGUGCAAGCGUUGUCCGGAAUUAUUGGGCGUAAAGAGCUCGUAGGCGGUUUGUCGCGUCUGCUGUGAAAUCCCGGGGCUCAACCCCGGGCCUGCAGUGGGUACGGGCAGACUAGAGUGCGGUAGGGGAGAUUGGAAUUCCUGGUGUAGCGGUGGAAUGCGAAGAUAUCAGGAGGAACACCGAUGGCGAAGGCAGAUCUCUGGGCCGUUACUGACGCUGAGGAGCGAAAGCAUGGGGAGCGAACAGG